rnacentral:tRNA from 1 species
CCUCCCGUAGCUCAGUCGGCAGAGCGCCGGCCUUAUAAGCCGGAGCGCGCCGGUUCGAAUCCGGCCGGGAGGA